UAGUCAUAUGCUUGUCUCAAAGAUUUAGCCAUGCAUGUCUAAGUAUAAACAGGGAUUUUCCCAUACUGUGAAACUGCGGACGGCUCAUUAAAUCAGUUAUAGUUUACUUGAUCGUAAUAACUUACUUGGAUAACCGUUGUAACCAAGGGCUAAUACAUGCUAAAAAUCCUAUUUCUUUGAAGUGGGACGAAUUUAUUAGAUUAAAAACCAAUGUGGGGUAUUCCAAACUAGUAUGUAACUUCGGUUUCAUACUGGGCUCCACUUUAAAGGUGAUCCA
rnacentral:rRNA from 1 species